GAUGAAGAACGUAGCGAAAUGCGAUACUUGGUGUGAAUUGCAGAAUCCCGUGAACCAUCGAGUCUUUGAACGCAAGUUGCGCCCGAAGCCAUUUGGUUGAGGGCACGUCUGCCUGGGCUUCACAUAUCGUUGCCCGAUGCCUAUUGCACUGUGAUAGGAAAUUCUAGGGCGAAAGAUGGCUUCCCGUGAGCGUUGUUGCCUCGCGGUUGGUUGAAAAUCGAGUCCUUGGUAGGGUGUGCCAUGAUAGAUGGUGGUCGAGUUUGCACGAGACCGAUCAUGUGUGCGCUCCCCAAAAUAUGGACUCUUUGACCCCACACGCGUCUUUUGACGCUCAUGACGAGACCUCAGGUCAGGCGGGGCUACCCGCUGAGUUUAAGCAUAUCAAUAAGCGGAGGA
rnacentral:misc_RNA from 1 species